GAAGAAAAUCGAAAGAAGCGAAAAGCAGACGUCGAAAACAAGCCAGAGGAAAUAAAAUGUAACACAUGCAAUGACGUGGGGCACGCCCCGAAGAUUGCCCUAGCAAACCGCGUCGAGGGACGCGGG